rnacentral:rRNA from 1 species
CCCAGACUCCUACGGGAGGCAGCAGUGGGGAAUAUUGGGCAAUGGAGGCAACUCUUACCCAGCAAUGCCGCGUGAAUGAAGAAGGUCUUCGGAUUGUAAAGUUCUUUAAUUGGGGACGAAAAAAAUGACGGUACCCAAGGAAUAAGCCCCGGCUAACUACGUGCCAGCAGCCGCGGUAAUACGUAGGGGGCAAGCGUUAUCCGGAUUUACUGGGUGUAAAGGGAGCGUAGGCGGUUUAGCAAGUCAGAAGUGAAAGCCCGGGGCUCAACUCCGGGACUGCUUUUGAAACUGUUGAACUAGAUUGCAGGAGAGGUAAGUGGAAUUCCUAGUGUAGCGGUGAAAUGCGUAGAUAUUAGGAGGAACACCAGUGGCGAAGGCGGCUUACUGGACUGUAAAUGACGCUGAGGCUCGAAAGCGUGGGGAGCAAACAGGAUUAGAUACCCUCGUAC